rnacentral:rRNA from 1 species
UACGUAGGGCGCAAGCGUUGUCCGGAAUUAUUGGGCGUAAAGAGCUCGUAGGCGGUUUGUCGCGUCUGCUGUGAAAACCUAAGGCUCAACCUUGGGCUUGCAGUGGGUACGGGCAGACUAGAGUGCGGUAGGGGUGACUGGAAUUCCUGGUGUAGCGGUGGAAUGCGCAGAUAUCAGGAGGAACACCGAGGGCGAAGGCAGGUCACUGGGCCGCAACUGACGCUGAGGAGCGAAAGCAUGGGGAGCGAACAGG